AACGUAGACACGGCCGGCGCGGGUCAAACUGUAGUAUCUGUUCUUAUCAGCUUAAUGUCUGAUUAGCAUUGCGUUUGGACCCAAGUUAUUAAACAUAUUUUUGCAAGUUUGUGGAGUGCUUGAAGCCUACUUCACCUCCGCCACGGGUCAGCCAGGUUUUACACUAUCUUCUGAAUCGGGCCACAGUUU